UGGCCUCUGUGCACGCAAGCUUGAGGUAGCAAGUUCGACUCCUUCAAAAGGAAGAUUUGUACCGCUAGGGAAGUGCCAGAAGAAAAGAACAAGGAAGAUUUGCUAGCAGGACAAAAGCACGGUAAACUUGGGAAAAAAAAGGUCCAGAAGAAAAGAACAAAGAAGAGCUGCUUGAAGGAGUCGAACUUGCUACCUCAAGCUUGCGUGCACAUAGGCCA
rnacentral:pre_miRNA from 1 species